rnacentral:rRNA from 1 species
CCUACGGGCGGCAGCAGUGGGGGAUAUUGCACAAUGGGGGGAACCCUGAUGCAGCGACGCCGCGUGGGUGAAGAAGCGCCUCGGCGCGUAAAGCCCUGUCAGCAGGGAAGAAAAUGACGGUACCUGAAGAAGAAGCCCCGGCUAACUACGUGCCAGCAGCCGCGGGAAUACGUAGGGGGCAAGCGUUAUCCGGAUUUACUGGGUGUAAAGGGGGCGCAGACGGGGAUGCAAGCCAGGAGGGAAAGCCCGGGGCCCAACCCCGGGACUGCUCUUGGAACUGGGUGGCUGGAGUGCAGGAGGGGCAGGCGGAAUUCCUGGUGUAGCGGUGAAAUGCGUAGAUAUCAGGAGGAACACCGGUGGCGAAGGCGGCCUGCUGGACUGCAACUGACGUUGAGGCCCGAAAGCGUGGGGAGCAAACAGGAUUAGAUACCCCAGUAGUC